rnacentral:rRNA from 1 species
AGCGAACGCUGGCGGCAGGCCUAACACAUGCAAGUCGAACGAAGUCUUCGGACUUAGUGGCGGACGGGUGAGUAACACGUGGGAACGUGCCUUUAGGUUCGGAAUAACUCAGGGAAACUUGUGCUAAUACCGAAUGUGACCUUCGUGGGAAAGAUUUAUAGCCUUAAGAACGGCCCGCGUCUGAUUAGCUAGUUGGUGCGAUAAAGCCUCACCAAGGCUACGAUCAGUAGCUGGCGUAAGAGGAUGACCAGCCACAUUGGGACUGAGACACGGCCCAAACUCCUACGGGAGGCAGCAGUGGGGAAUCUUGCGCAAUGGGCGAAAGCCUGACGCAGCCAUGCCGCGUGGAUGAUGAAGGUCUUAGGAUUGUAAAAUCCUUUCACCGGUGAAGAUAAUGACUGUAGCCGGAGAAGAAGCCCCGGCUAACUUCGUGCCAGCCGCCGCCGUAACAC